rnacentral:sRNA from 1 species
GCUGGGCAAGAUGGUGCAUGCCUGUAAUCCCAGCGGCUGGGGAGGCUGAGGCAGGAGGAUUGCAAGUUCAAAGCCAGCCUUAGCAACUUAAUGAGGCCCUAAGCAAAUCAGCAAGACCCUGUCUCUA